UCUACCUGCAGGUCUCUUAUGCCUGCAGACUUUAAAAGCCAGAAGAACCCACUGCCAAGGUGGUACAUUAGGAGAGAGAGAUGAGCUUCUGCUUGAACAGGACAAGCGGGACACACUUUUCUAUGACAGCUUGUUUGCUUACUUUCUGGUUUUCCUCUGAACCCAGAAUAAAAGGGCUCUGAUGGCUUUUCGCUGGUCCUUCACCGUGACAGACAUGCUUCUUUCUAUGUUAGGAGUGCUGGGGUAUGAUGUGUCUGACUCUGGCCCACUGGGCCCAGAUGACAGGCUGGACGAAGAGGAGUUCCUGUUGAGGUUGCCUGUCAGCUCUUUAAUCUGAAAAAACAAUAUUAUGUUCCAUAUUAGUCCAAGUACCAGAGAGGAAUUUCCAUCUGCUAUUUCUGCUGCAUCAAUGCU
rnacentral:lncRNA from 1 species